AUUGGGUUAUAUCAUAAUCAACAUUUAGUAAUUUAUUGAUAUGUGGUGGUUUAAUAAUACAACCUUCUGAUUUAACAGUAACAUUCAAAUUUUCAAACUAUUUUUUCUUGUUAAUAGCAACAUUUUAUUGAGUUGGAUGACAAUAGGCAACGAUUAUUGCAGAAGUGCAAGGAACUUAUGAAGAGAGCUAGGCAAGUAUGUAACCUGGGUGCACAGCAGACUGUUCCUCGAGAAUAUCAGACACAAGUACCCACCAUUCCAAAUGGACACAACUCCUCACCCCCCAUGGCUUUUCAAGAUCUUCCAAACACAUUGGAUGAAAUUGAUGCUUUGUUAACUGAAGAAAGAUCAAGAGCUUCCUGCUUCACAGGACUGAAUCCUACAGUGGUUCAGGAAUACACAAAAAGGGAAGAAGAAAUAGUGCAGUUAACUGAGGAACUAAAGGGAAAUAAAGUUGAACUAGACCAAUAUAGGGAAAAUAUUUCACAGGUAAAAGAACGAUGGCUAAAUCCCUUAAAAGAGCUAGUAGAAAAAAUUAAUGAAAAAUUCAGCAAUUUUUUUAGUUCCAUGCAAUGUGCUGGUGAAGUUGAUCUCCAUACAGAAAAUGAGGAAGACUAUGAUAAAUAUGGAAUUCGAAUUAGAGUCAAGUUUCGCAGUAGUACUCAGCUGCAUGAAUUGACUCCUCAUCAUCAGAGUGGAGGUGAAAGAAGUGUUUCCACCAUGCUAUACUUGAUGGCCCUUCAAGAGCUUAAUAGAUGUCCGUUUAGAGUAGUUGAUGAAAUUAAUCAGGGAAUGGACCCGAUCAAUGAACGGAGAGUAUUUGAAAUGGUUGUAAACACUGCCUGUAAAGAAAACACAUCCCAGUACUUCUUUAUUACACCAAAGCUCCUGCAAAAUCUCCCUUAUUCUGAAAAGAUGACAGUAUUGUUUAUCUACAAUGGCCCUCAUAUGCUGGAAUCAAACAGAUGGCAUUUAAAGGCUUUCCAAAGGCGCCGCCGCCGUAUUACAUUCACUCAGCCUUCUCAGUAAAUAGAAGAAACUAUUGGAGGUGAUUUUUUUUUCUGGUGUUUGUUAAAUUGUUUAUAAGUAUGACUUAAUUGAAUAAAACUCAAGAGAUUUAUUAAAAUAGAAAAUUGGUUAUUUUUGAAACCUGCUCUUAAAUACAAAAAAUUGAUGAGAUGGAUAUUGUAAAGACCUCUUUUCUCUGGAACAUCAUCUGGUCAUAAUAAUUAAGUCUUCAGUCUUGGUUGAACUUGAGCCCUUAGUACUCUAUGAGUCCUGGGUUCCUAGAGUCAAAGGCAUUUACUAUUGCAAGUCAAAGGUAUGGUGGAACUGGGGUUAUCGGUCACAGGUGACACAGUAGCCCUGAGCUCUAAUUGCAGAAUAACUUUAGUUACUUUUAGAGCCCAAAGCUGAUUCUGGAACUUAAAACCUAGCUUUUUCCAAUAUUACAUUUAAUUUUUAAAAAUUGAUAUGAAAAUGUCUAAUGUAUAGUAAUAAUUUAUGACAUAUAUAUUCAUUUUUCCUGUUAAAAUAUUAUCUCCACUAAGAAAUGGACUUUUAUGGCCUAUGGAAAAAAAUUUAUGAAACUUGAUGCUAUAAUUGCAUUGGCAUGGGGGAAAAAAGAAAAAGCAUUGGGCUUGAAAAAUACAAUAGUAUGACUUAUUUGAAAUAGCACAAGGCGCCCUCUAGAUGUUGCUCAAUGCAACCAAAAGAUUAACAGAAUAAAAGCAGGUGACAAGGGAUUUUUAAAGAAUUACCUUAUAAAGUAUGUGUGGGUUUUUCUUGUUUUGUUUUCUAAUUUAAAGUUCAUUGUAUUUUACAUCUUAAAUUUCUAAAAAAACAUUUUUAUAAUUAUUUUUAGGAAGAUUUUCUUAAGAUUUCAUAUACUGGUUUAUACAAUUUGUAUUUGAAAUUUCUCAGUGCUACAUACAGAGGGUAAGGCGUUGAUCUGUUUAAAACUGUUUUUAGAAUCCCUAAGAGUUCCUUCCUUACAGUGUUGAUCUACCCAUUAUUCUAGAAAAUCUAAUUUAAAAUAUUUUCUUCCAGCUUGAAAGAAUUAAAUGAGAAAAUUAUUCAUUUACUGCUGAGUUAUGCUAAUUAACAGUUACCAACAAAUUAUUUUCUUUUAAAAAAUAAAUCUUGUAAAAAAUGGAUUACUCCAAGGACAUGUCUUUGAAUUGUGGAUUGGAUCUGUGCUGGUAAUGACAGAAUUAUAUUUUUGACUGCUGGGCUGCAUAAAUUGAGUUGCAUUCACUUUGUGUUUUGCAUGUUCUUAUAUAGCCGAUGACAUUUAUAUUCAUAUUAGGUAAAAAAUAAUGUUCUCUCCCUUAGACAUUUUUCUCUUUGAAAACAUAUUUUUCUUUAUAAAUAAAAAUUUUAAGGUCCUCUCUUAAACUAAGUCUAACGCAUGAAGUAUGAAAAUAUUUUAAAAAUAUUUUCACUAUGAUGAACAAAUCACAUGAAUUUGAAAAAAUUAGUAACAUUUUAGUAAAUGGAUAUUACCAAACAUUCCUGUUCUUAACUUUGUUUUCCAUUAUAACUAAUAUGUACUGUGGUGUAAUUUUUUGUCUAAAUUAGCUGGGCAUGGUGUCACAUACCUGUAAUCCCAUUACUUGAGAGUUUAAGGGAAGAGGAUUGACAUGAAUUUGAGGCCUGCCUGGGUUACAUAGUAAUUUAAGGCCAGCCUGAAUUAAAUGGCAAGACCCUAUCUAAAACAAUAAAUAAUUCAUAGCUGUCAUCAAUUUCUAUGAAAAUGAACUCCAGUGUGAAAAAGAAGCUUGAAGAUUAAUCAAUCAUAUUUUAAAUAAAAUGGUCAAUUACCUUUCAACUUAAUUUGCCAACAUUUCAUACCUUUUUUGUAAACAUAUUUCUGUGUUGCACAAAGUUAAUAUUAGGUUUUACCUUGACUUUUGAGCUGUGAAGAAUAAAUUAUGUAUCAUUUUAAUAUCUUAAGGAAUAAUAAGGGUAGCAUAUUAUAUAUAGUCUUGGCCACUUAAAAUUUCAUGUUUUUUGCAAAUGUUGAUUUUUAAUCAAAUUGUAAAAACAUCAAGUAAAAAGCCUAAUUUGAUGAAUAAGAUGAUCUUUAAAACUUUAAGGUGAUAAGUGUUUUUGGAGACUAAAUCUACUGACAUGUCUAAGGAGAGUCUGUUAAAAGGUUUUCUGUAUUCAAAGUAAGAAGAAAGAUUUCCUGCUGCUUUCUGAUUGUGUUUUGGAUAUAUGCCUAUUGUCUUUGCAAUAUGAACCUUUAGUAUGUGAAAAAUGUAAUUUCGUCCGGCUAUUGUGUAUGUAUAUGUGUAUAAUUGUUAACUGUGUUGGAAAUGUUACUUUGUUGUAAUAAAUACAUAUUUUCAUAUUCGUUUGGUCUAUGUCAUUUAAAAAGGAUAAUUUUUUGUACUUUGAACUGUAAGAGUCAUUUUGAUUUUCAGGUUUACUAAACAAAUUUUGUAAGUGCCCACCAUUUACAAAACAAGUUUUAGCUGUUCAGAAGUGUUCAGAAGGGUGAAAGUUUAGUUCCUUGUUUGCCUGCAAUGAAAUUAGUCUAAAGGAGCAGUAAACACAUGAAAAAAUGAAGCUACCAAAAGAAGCCAAUCUACAAGGUACGUAUAUUUUUAUGUUGAAACAUGAAAUUUGCUAAAAACAUGCCCAGUAGCCAAUUUUUACAUUACAUUACUGUCUAAUUUUUAAAAUGUAUUUUGAAUGAACCAAAGUUUGUCACUUGCUUGCAAACAGGUUUCUUUACCUUUCUACACUGAUGAAAUGAAAAUGACACUUAAUUCAUAAAACCACUCAGAAGGUAAAAUGAGAUCAGGAGCCUAAUUAGGGAGUCUACCAUCAUAGUAGGUGCUUUAUAUAUGUUUAAUCCUCAUUUUAAAUCUUGAAAAAUGGACUGUGUACUUUAUCCCACAAAGUCUGAAUUCUAAGUAAAGUUAAUGAGGUAUUAAUUCAUUUGUAUUGAUGUAUACCAUCAGAUGUUUAAAGGAUACAGAUAUCUACAGACUCAGCAUUACAGAUGUAAUUAUUUGCAUGUCAUAACCAUCAUGAAAUUUGAAGAUGUUAGAUGAGCU
ensembl:lincRNA